rnacentral:lncRNA from 1 species
CUACAAAUUAAAGAAAAAUAUUUUUCAAGAAUAAUUAUCAGUAGACCACAACAAAAAAUUAAAUUAGAACUCGAAUUUCACUCUAAUAAUUAAAAACUGAUAUUUUUUAGUGACAUGUAAUUAAAAAGAAAUAAGAUGGAAAAAAAUAAAAUACAAAUUAAAAAGCACUACUAAUUAAUAGAUUAGCUUCUAGCUGAUCUAUACCUACUGGAACAUUACAUGUUUCUGAGAAUUAACCAUUACUUAAGGGAAGGAGAAAUUAAUAAAUUCAAGUUAAUAAAUCAAUAAGAGUUCAAUUUGUAGGCUUGAAUGAUGCAUCAUCAUAUCUAUCAUCAAAAACUUGCCUGGCUUGAGCCUGUGUGCCGUAGCUAUUAAUUAACAACAUAUAAAGAUAGCAAUAAUCAAUCGAAAUUAGUAAUAAUUAUCAGAUCACACCUAUAAUAAUCAUGGAUUCAUCUUCACCUUCUUCUGUUUUCCUCCAUCGUACUUGCCGGACACUAAUUUUGCCUACAAAACCCUUUGAAUCCAUGAGAAUCAUCAUGCUUCAUGCUUCUGCAAUUUUCUAUCUAUUGGUUAUAUAUAUAUAUAUAU